rnacentral:rRNA from 1 species
GGAGCUUGCUCCUCUGACGUUAGCGGCGGACGGGUGAGUAACACGUGGAUAACCUACCUAUAAGACUGGGAUAACUUCGGGAAACCGGAGCUAAUACCGGAUAAUAUAUUGAACCGCAUGGUUCAAUAGUGAAAGACGGUUUUGCUGUCACUUAUAGAUGGAUCCGCGUCGCAUUAGCUAGUUGGUAAGGUAACGGCUUACCAAGGCAACGAUGCGUAGCCGACCUGAGAGGGUGAUCGGCCACACUGGAACUGAGACACGGUCCAGACUCCUACGGGAGGCAGCAGCAGGGAAUCUUCCGCAAUGGGCGAAAGCCUGACGGAGCAACGCCGCGUGAGUGAUGAAGGUCUUCGGAUCGUAAAACUCUGUUAUUAGGGAAGAACAAAUGUGUAAGUAACUAUGCACGUCUUGACGGUACCUAAUCAGAAAGCCACGGCUAACUACGUGCCAGCAGCCGCGGUAAUACGUAGGUGGCAAGCGUUAUCCGGAAUUAUUGGGCGUAAAGCGCGCGUAGGCGGUUUUUUAAGUCUGAUGUGAAAGCCCACGGCUCAACCGUGGAAGGUCAUUGGAAACUGAAAAACUUGAGUGCAGAAGAGGAAAGUGGAAUUCCAUGUGUAGCGGUGAAAUGCGCAGAGAUAUGGAGGAACACCAGUGGCGAAGGCGACUUUCUGGUCUGUAACUGACGCUGAUGUGCGA